rnacentral:ncRNA from 2 species
GCCUAAGCACGCGGCGAUGGUCCUCCCGGGAGGGAGGUGAAAAGGGAAUGCGGUGACCGGCCUGGCCCCUCGCGGGGAUGGCCCCAAUCCGCGGCUGCCCCCGCAACUGUAGGCGGAGAGCGCCCCGCCACCCCGGCCACUGGGCUCGCGCCUGGGAAGGCCGGCGGGGCGCGCCGGAUCCGCGAGCCAGGAGACCUGCCAUCACCCAUCGGAUCGU